UACGUAGGGGGCUAGCGUUGUCCGGAAUCAUUGGGCGUAAAGAGCGUGUAGGCGGUCCGGUAAGUCCGCUGUGAAAGUCGGGGGGCUCAACCCUCGAAUGCCGGUGGAUACUGUCGGGCUAGAGUGCGGAAGAGGCGAGUGGAAUUCCUGGUGUAGCGGUGAAAUGCGCAGAUAUCAGGAGGAACACCGGUGGCGAAGGCGGUUCUCUGGGCCGAUACUG
rnacentral:rRNA from 1 species